AUGCAUCAAGACGGAGCAGGCCAACUCUUGGUGAAGGACGAGGAGAUUAAGCAUAGAUGGCGGGAGUACUUCGACAAGUUGUUCAAUGGGGAGAAUGAGAGUUCUACCAUUGAACUGGACGACUCCUUUGAUGAGACUAGCAUGCGUUUUGUGCGGCGAAUCCAGGAGUUUGAGGUCAAGGAGGCUUUAAAAAGGAUGAAAGGAGGCAAGGCGAUGGGCCCUGAUUGUAUCCCCAUUGAGGUGUGGAAAGGUCUCGGGGACAUAGCGAUAGUAUGGCUAACCAAGCUUUUCAACCUCAUUUUUCGGGCAAACAAGAUGCCAGAAGAAUGGAGACGGAGUAUAUUAGUACCAAUCUUCAAGAACAAGGGGGAUGUUCAGAGUUGUACUAAUUACCGUGGAAUUAAGCUGAUGAGCCAUACAAUGAAGCUAUGGGAGAGAGUCAUUGAGCACCGCUUAAGAAGAAUGACAAGCGUGACCAAAAAUCAGUUUGGUUUCAUGCCUGGGAGGUCGACCAUGGAAGCCAUUUUCUUGGUACGACAACUUAUGGAGAGAUAUAGGGAGCAAAAGAAGGACUUGCAUAUGGUGUUCAUUGAUUUGGAGAAGGCCUAUGAUAAGAUACCGCGGAAUGUCAUGUGGUGGGCCUUGGAGAAACACAAAGUCCCAGCAAAGUACAUUACCCUCAUCAAGGACAUGUACGAUAAUGUUGUGACAAGUGUUCGAACAAGUGAUGUCGACACUGAUGACUUCCCGAUUAAGAUAGGACUGCAUCAGGGGUCAGCUUUGAGCCCUUAUCUUUUUGCAUUGGUGAUGGAUGAGGUCACAAGGGAUAUACAAGGAGAUAUCCCAUGGUGUAUGCUCUUUGCGGAUGAUGUGGUGCUAGUUGACGAUAGUCGGACGGGGGCAAAUAGGAAGUUAGAGUUAUGGAGACAAACCUUGGAGUCGAAAGGGUUUAGGCUUAGUAGGACUAAAACCGAGUACAUGAUGUGCGGUUUCAGUACUAGGUGUGAGGAGGAGGGGGUUAGCCUUGAUGGCCAGGUGGUACCUAAGAAGGACACCUUUCGGUAUUUGGGGUCAAUGCUGCAGGAGGAUGGGGGUAUUGAUGAAGAUGUGAACCAUCGAGUCAAAGCCGGAUGGAUGAAGUGGCGCCAAGCUUCUGGCAUUCUCUGUGACAAGAGAGUGCGACAAAAGCUAAAAGGCAAGUUCUACAGGACGGCGGUUCGACCCGCAAUGUUGUAUGGCGCUGAGUGUUGGCCGACUAAAAGGCGACAUGUUCAACAGUUAGGUGUGGCGGAGAUGCGUAUGUUGAGAUGGAUGUGUGGCCACACGAGGAAGGAUCGAGUCCGGAAUGAUGAUAUACGAGAUAGAGUUGGGGUAGCACCAAUUGAAGAGAAGCUUGUCCAACAUCGUCUGAGAUGGUUUGGGCAUAUUCAGCGCAGGCCUCCAGAAGCUCCAGUGCAUAGUGGACGGCUAAAGCGCGCGGAGAAUGUCAAGAGAGGGCGGGGUAGACCGAAUUUGACAUGGGAGGAGUCCGUUAAGACAGACCUGAAGGAUUGGAGUAUCACCAAAGAGCUAGCUAUGGACAGGGGUGCGUGGAAGCUUGCUAUCCAUGUGCCAGAGCCAUGA
rnacentral:rRNA from 1 species